UGCCUAACACCAACGUUUAAAGUUAACGGCUUUUAAACGUUCGACAUUUUUGAAUUUUUAAAAUCAACCGUUAGAAAUUCAAAAAAACGGUCACAGCUCGAGCUCAAAGGAACGUUACCAUGGAUAUAACGUUCCGUAAUCAACCGUUAAUUUUAAACUAUGCUAGCAGCCACCAAUAGGAGAAAAGGAGGAAGCGGACAGGCCCACUCUGGCCGGUGAAGAGCGUGUGCGCUGCUGUGUGGGCCGGAUCGCUCCGGAGUUUCUGUCUUGAACAGCGAGCAUUAGUCACCCAGGUUGGUGGAUGAAGAGAACAAGUAGCUCAGGUGGGUGGAAGUGCCCUCAUAUUGGAUCACAGAGAGGCCUCCAAAACAAAGAACAAUGCCUCUGAGAUGAGACGCUGAAAGAGAGCGUUUAUCUAAACGGGGCUUCAAAAAUAAAUGUAUUUUAGGGCCGCUUAUGCCUAACAGAGA